UACGUAGGGUGCAAGCGUUGUCCGGAAUUAUUGGGCGUAAAGGGCGCGUAGGCGGUUUCUUAAGUUUGAAGUGACAGUGGGUGGCUUAACUACCCAAGGCCUUUGAAAACUGGGGAACUUGAGGACCAGAGAGGGACAUAGAAUUCCGGGUGGAGUGGUGAAAUGCGUAGAUAUCGUAAGGAAGACCAGUGGCGAAGGCGAAUCUCUGGACAGUUACUGACACUGAGGCACGAAGGCCAGGGGAGCAAACGGG
rnacentral:rRNA from 1 species